rnacentral:pre_miRNA from 1 species
CAGUGGUCGGUUGAGACUCGCGUGUUUUGUGACAUCACGAGCCUCGACUCACCACUGCU